rnacentral:rRNA from 1 species
AUUGAACGCUGGCGGCAGGCCUAACACAUGCAAGUCGAGCGGAUGAAGGGAGCUUGCUCCUGGAUUCAGCGGCGGACGGGUGAGUAAUGCCUAGGAAUCUGCCUGGUAGUGGGGGAUAACGUCCGGAAAAGGGCGCUAAUACCGCAUACGUCCUGCGGGAGAAAGUGGGGGAUCUUCGGACCUCACGCUAUCAGAUGAGCCUAGGUCGGAUUAGAUAGUUGGUGGGGUAAAGGCCUACCAAGCCGACGAUCGGUAACUGGUCUGAGAGGAUGAUCAGUCACACUGGAACUGAGACACGGUCCAGACUCCUACGGGAGGCAGCAGUGGGGAAUAUCGGACAAUGGGCGAAAGCCUGGUCCAGCCAUGGCGCGUGUGUGAAGAAGGUCUUCGGAUUGUAAAGCACUUUAAGUUGGGAGGAAGGGCAGUAAAUUAAUACCUUGCUGUUUUGACGUUACUAACAGAAUAAGCACCGGCUAACUUCGUG